rnacentral:tRNA from 1 species
GCGCGAGUGUCGGAAUUGGCAGACGAGAUGGGUUUAGGUCCCAUUGUCCUUUGGGCGUGGGGGUUCGAGUCCCCCCUCGCGCA